UAUAUGGUGGAUAAAUAUAUAGUCUAGCCUGCCCACUGAGAGGUUUAAAGGGCCGCGGUAUUUUGACCGUGCUAAGGUAGCAUAAUAAAUAGUCUUUUAAUUGAGGUCUGGUAUGAAUGGUUGGACAUGAAGCUAGCUGUUUCGGUUAUAUAGGUUGAAUUUUACCUUUAAGUGAAAAGGCUUAAAUUUGGUGAAGGGACGAUAAGACCCUAUAAAGCUUUAUAUUUUGUAUGGGAAUUAAGGGGUAUUGGGUUCCUUAUAUUACCAAGCAAAGUAUUUCGUUGGGGCGACGGGAAUAUAAUAGGUAACUGUUCUUAAUAUAAAAUAAGUAUGGUUAGUAAGGUUGAUCCUUUUUAGAGAUUAUAAGAGUUAAGUUACUUUAGGGAUAACAGCGUAAUUUUUUUUGAGAGUUCAUAUCGACAAAAAUAGUUGCGACCUCGAUGUUGAAUUAAGAUAUUUCUAAGGUGUAGAAGCUUUAGUAGUGGGUCUGUUCGACCUUUAAAAUCUU
rnacentral:rRNA from 1 species